rnacentral:rRNA from 1 species
GGCGAUCGAAAAGAUUAAGCCAUGCAUGUAUAAGUUUAAUCGUUUAUCGAGAAACCGCGAACGGCUCAUUACAAUGGCCAUGAUUUACUUGAUCUUGAUUAUCUAAAUGGAUAACUGUGGAAAAGCUAGAGCUAAUACAUGCACCAAAGCUUUGUCCUCUCGGAAAAGCGCAUUUAUUAGAACAAAACCACGCGGCUUCGGCUGCUUCUUGUUGACUCAGAAUAACUAAGCUGACCGCAUGGCCUUGUGCCGGCGGCGUGUCUUUCAAGCGUCCACUUUAUCAACUUGACGGGAGCAUAAUCGACUCCCGUGGUGGUGACGGAUAACGGAGGAUCAGGGUUCGACUCCGGAGAAGGGGCCUGAGAAAUGGCACUACGUCUAAGGAUGGCAGCAGGCGCGCAAAUUAUCCACUCUCGGCUCGAGGAGGUAGUGACGAGAGAUAACGAGACUGUUCUCUUUGAGGCCGGUCAUCGGAAUGGGUACAAUUUAAACCCUUUAACGAGUAUCAAGCAGAGGGCAAGUCUGGUGCCAGCAGCCGCGGUAAUUCCAGCUCUGCUAAUACAUAGAAUUAUUGCUGCGGUUAAAAAGCUCGUAGUUGGAUUCGUAUCGGUAUCCUGGAACCCUCCGGGUGUUUCUGGGUGUUAUCGAUUUAUCGUAAUGUUCGGUUUUGAGUCCUUAACAGGAUUCUUAACAGGCAUUGCAAGUUUACUUUGAACAAAUCAGAGUGCUUCAAACAGGCGUUUUCGCUUGAAUGAUCGUGCACGGAAUAAUAGAAAACGAUUUCGGUUCAGUUUUAUUGGUUCUACGGACUGAGAUAAUGGUUAACAGAGACAAACGGGGGCAUUUGUAUGGCCCCGUGAGAGGUGAAAUUCUUGGACCGUGGCCAGACAAACUACAGCGAAAGCAUUUGCCAAGAAUGUCUUCAUUAAUCAAGAACGAAAGUCAGAGGUUCGAAGGCGAUCAGAUACCGCCCUAGUUCUGACCGUAAACGAUGCCAACUAGCGAUCCGCCGAUGGAAAUUAUAUUGCCUUGGUGGGGAGCUUCCCGGAAACGAAAGUCUUCCGGUUCCGGGGGAAGUAUGGUUGCAAAGCUGAAACUUAAAGGAAUUGACGGAAGGGCACCACCAGGAGUGGAGCCUGCGGCUUAAUUUGACUCAACACGGGGAAACUCACCCGGCCCGGACACUGUGAGGAUUGACAGAUUGAUAGCUUUUUCAUGAUUCAGUGGAUGGUGGUGCAUGGCCGUUCUUAGUUCGUGGAGUGAUUUGUCUGGUUUAUUCCGAUAACGAGCGAGACUCUAACCUACUAAAUAGCUGGUACAUAAUUUAAGUGUAUACAGCUUCUUAGAGGGAUUUGCGGUGUUCAGCCGAAAGAAAUUGAGCAAUAACAGGUCUGUGAUGCCCUUAGAUGUCCGGGGCUGCACGCGCGCUACACUGGCAAAAUCAACGUGCUUGUCCUACCCCGAAAGGGGCGGGUAAACCAUUGAAAAUUUGCCGUGAUUGGGAUCGGAAAUUGCAAUUAUUUUCCGUGAACGAGGAAUUCCAAGUAAGUGCGAGUCAUCAGCUCGCGUUGAUUACGUCCCUGCCCUUUGUACACACCGCCCGUCGCUGCCCGGGACUGAGCCAUUUCGAGAAAUUUGGGGACCGUUGUUUUAAUUUUUCUAAAUUACUUUGAUGGAAACCAAUUUAAUCGCAGUGGCUUGAACC